UCUGUUCCAACAAAAUCUUGUUGAUCUCCUGGUCGAUUCUGGCCGCGGUCUUCUCCUCGUCCGUCAGACACCAGGGACAGCAGCCCCGGGUCAGGGACCGGGCCAUGACCGGCGCCUCACAGGCCACAAGGACACAGGUGUGGAGGUCUCAGGACACCUCGUGAGAGUCACUUCCAGCACCUGGGUUCCAAGGACCAGACUCAGUGUGCAUGGACACUUCUCUGGCAUGUGCGUCGGUGACCUGAGAGACCAGAAAAGGGCGUUGGGUUCCCGGGAACCGGAGUCACAGGUCCGCUGCGGCCUGGUCGCAGCUGCGGACGUCGUCUGGCGACACCUGCUGGACACCAGCGGAACGACAGGCACCUGCGCUGAGGACCUGGACGGCCGUCAGGCUUUCACCUUUCACCUCUUCCGGUCUCACCCACCUUCAUCGGGUCUCCACCUGGCUCUGGCCGUCAGGUCCACUCGUGAGUCCUCCCUGCAGACAACAGGCCUGGCGCUCUUCCCGCCUCCCGCUCCCUCUGCUGCAGCCACACUGGCCUGCCUCCUCCGUGCCCCAGCAUGCCAGACCGACUCCACACGGUCCCCAGGCCUUUGCACCGUCCCCACCCUGGAGCCUUUGCGGGGGCCCUGCCCUCCCUGGGACCACUCUCUAGUAACAGCACAGCUCUUUGCCUCCCAGGAUCCACCCAACGUCUUGACUUUUCUGUUGCUGUGAUAAAUACUGAGACCAAAAGCAA